AGCGAACGCUGGCGGCAGGCUUAACACAUGCAAGUCGAACGCAUCCUUCGGGGUGAGUGGCAGACGGGUGAGUAACACGUGGGAACGUACCCUUCGAUCUGGGAUAACUUCGGGAAACUGGAGCUAAUACCGGAUACGCCCUUUUGGGGAAAGGUUUACUGUCGAAGGAUCGGCCCGCGUCUGAUUAGCUAGUUGGUGGGGUAACGGCCUACCAAGGCGACGAUCAGUAGCUGGUCUGAGAGGAUGACCAGCUACACUGGGACUGAGACACGGCCCAGACUCCUACGGGAGGCAGCAGUGGGGAAUAUUGGACAAUGGGCGCAAGCCUGAUCCAGCCAUGCCGCGUGAGUGAUGAAGGCCUUAGGGUUGUAAAGCUCUUUUGUCCGGGACGAUAAUGACGGUACCGGAAGAAUAAGCCCCGGCUAACUUCGUG
rnacentral:rRNA from 1 species